rnacentral:rRNA from 1 species
AUUGAACGCUGGCGGCAGGCUUAACACAUGCAAGUCGAGCGAGCGGCGGACGGGUGAGUAAUGUCUGGGGAACUGCCCGAUGGAGGGGGAUAACUACUGGAAACGGUGGCUAAUACCGCAUACUAUCGGAUGUACCCAUAUGGGAUUAGCUAGUAGGUGGGGUAAAGGCUCACCUAGGCGACGAUCGCUAGCUGGUCUGAGCGGAUGAUCAGCCACACUGGAACUGAGACACGGCCCAGACUCCUACGGGAGGCAGCAGUGGGGAAUAUUGCACAAUGGGCGCAAGCCUGAUGCAGCCAUGCCGCGUGUGUGAAGAAGGCCUUAGGGUUGUAAAGCACUUUCAGCGGGGAGGCGUUACCCGCAGAAGAAGCACCGGCUAACUCCGUGCCAGCAGCCGCGGUAAUAC